AUUGAACGCUGGCGGCAGGCCUAACACAUGCAAGUCGAGCGGAUGAAGGGAGCUUGCUCCUGGAUUCAGCGGCGGACGGGUGAGUAAUGCCUAGGAAUCUGCCUGGUAGUGGGGGAUAACGUCCGGAAACGGGCGCUAAUACCGCAUACGUCCUGAGGGAGAAAGUGGGGGAUCUUCGGACCUCACGCUAUCAGAUGAGCCUAGGUCGGAUUAGCUAGUUGGUGGGGUAAAGGCCUACCAAGGCGACGAUCCGUAACUGGUCUGAGAGGAUGAUCAGUCACACUGGAACUGAGACACGGUCCAGACUCCUACGGGAGGCAGCAGUGGGGAAUAUUGGGCAGUGGGCGAAAGCCUGAUCCAGCCAUGCCGCGUGUGUGAAGAAGGUCUUCGGAUUGUAAAGCACUUUAAGUUGGGAGGAAGGGCAGUAAGUUAAUACCUUGCUGUUUUGACGUUACCAACAGAAUAAGCACCGGCUAACUUCGUG
rnacentral:rRNA from 1 species